GGGGAUACAGCUAGGUUGGUAGAGUGCUUGCCUUGCAUACAAAGGGACCUGGGUUCAAUCCCCAGCACCACCA
rnacentral:tRNA from 1 species